AUUGAACGCUGGCGGCAUGCCUUACACAUGCAAGUCGAACGGUAACAGGUUAAGCUGACGAGUGGCGAACGGGUGAGUAACACAUCGGAACGUGCCCAAUCGUGGGGGAUAACGUAGCGAAAGCUACGCUAAUACCGCAUACGAUCUACGGAUGAAAGCGGGGGAUCGCAAGACUUCGCGCGAAUGGAGCGGCCGAUGGCAGAUUAGGUAGUAGGUGAGGUAAAGGCUCACCAAGCCUGCGAUCUGUAGUCGGUCUGAGAGGACGACCAGCCACACUGGGACUGAGACACGGCCCAGACUCCUACGGGAGGCAGCAGGGGGGAAUUUUGGACAAUGGGCGAAAGCCUGAUCCAGCAAUGCCGCGUGCAGGAUGAAGGCCUUCGGAUUGUAAACUGCUUUUGUACGGAACGAAACGGUCCUUUCUAAUACAGGGGGCUAAUGACGGUACCGUAAGAAUAAGCACCGGCUAACUACGUGCCAGCAGCCGCCGUAA
rnacentral:rRNA from 1 species